GAUGAACGCUGGCGGCGUGCCUAAUACAUGCAAGUCGAGCGAACGGACGAGAAUCUUGCUUCUCUGAUGUUAGCGGCGGACGUGUGAGUAACACGUGGAUAACCUACCUAUAAGACUGGGAUCACUUCGGGAAACCGGCUCUAAUACCGUAUGAUCUUUUGAACCGCAUUGUUCAAAAGUGAAAGACGGUCUUUCUGUCUCUUAUAGAUGGAUCCGCGCUGCAUUAUCUAGUUGUUAAGUUACCGGCUUACCAAGGCAACGAUGCAUAACCGACCUGAGAGGGGGAUCGGCCACAGAGGAACUGAGACACGGUACAGAGUCCUACGGGAGGCAGAAGUAGGGAAGCGACCGAAAAGGGCGAAAGCCUGAAGGAGCAACGCAGCGUGAGUGAAGAAGGUCUUCGGAUCGUAAAACUCUGUUAUGAGGGAAGAACAUAUGUGUAGGAACUGUGCACAUAUUGACGGUACCUAAUCAGAAAGCAACGGCUAACUACGUG
rnacentral:rRNA from 1 species